GAUGAACGCUGGCGGCGUGCUUAACACAUGCAAGUCGAGCGAGAAGUUUUGAAAAGAUUCUUCGGAUGAAAUUUAAAAUGGAAAGCGGCGGACGGGUGAGUAACGCGUAGGCAACCUGCCCCAUACAAAGGGAUAGCAUUUGGAAACGAAUAUUAAUACCUUAUGAAACUUAACUAGUGCAUGCUAGGUAGGUCAAAGAUUUAUCGGUAUGGGAUGGGCCUGCGUCUGAUUAGCUAGUUGGUGAGGUAACGGCUCACCAAGGCGACGAUCAGUAGCCGACCUGAGAGGGUGAACGGCCACAUUGGAACUGAGACACGGUCCAAACUCCUACGGGAGGCAGCAGUGGGGAAUAUUGCACAAUGGGGGAAACCCUGAUGCAGCAACGCCGCGUGAACGAUGAAGGCCUUUGGGUCGUAAAGUUCUGUUCUAGGUGAUGAAAACUGACAGUAACCUAGGAGAAAGCCCCGGCUAACUUCGUG
rnacentral:rRNA from 1 species